rnacentral:rRNA from 1 species
UGGGGAAUUGUUCGCAAUGGGCGCAAGCCUGACGACGCAACGCCGCGUGGAGGAUGAAGAUCUUCGGGUCGUAAACUCCUGUCGAGUGGGAAGAAUAGUGUCCGGGCGAAUAUCCCGGACACCUGACGGUACCACUAAAGGAAGCCCCGGCUAACUCCGUGCCAGCAGCCGCGGUAAUACGGGGGGGGCAAGCGUUGUUCGGAAUUACUGGGCGUAAAGGGCUCGUAGGCGGCCAACUAAGUCAGACGUGAAAUCCCCAGGCUCAACCUGGGAACUGCGUCUGAUACUGGGAGGCUUGAGUAUGGGAGAGGGAUGUAGAAUUCCAGGUGUAGCGGUGAAAUGCGUAGAUAUCUGGAGGAAUACCGGUGGCGAAGGCGGCAUCCUGGACCAUUACUGACGCUGAGGCGCGAAAGCUAGGGGAGCAAA